rnacentral:rRNA from 1 species
AACGUACGCUGGCGGCACGCCUAACACAUGCAAGUCGAACGAAGUAGCAAUACUUAGUGGCAGACGGGUGAGUAACAUGUAGGUAUCUGCCCUUUGGCCUGGAAUAACACGAGGAAACUUGUGCUAAUACCGGAUAAGUCUUUACGGAGAAAGCUUUAUGCACCAUUGGAUGAGCCUGCACUUGAUUAGUUUGUUGGUAGGGUAAUGGCCUACCAAGACUGUGAUCAAUAGCUGAUUUGAGAGGAUGAUCAGCCACAUUGGGACUGAGACACGGCCCAAACUCCUACGGGAGGCAGCAGUGGGGAAUCUUGCACAAUGGAGGAAACUCUGAUGCAGCGAUGCCGCGUGAGUGAAGAAGGCCCUUGGGUUGUAAAGCUCUUUCGUCGGGGAAGAAAAUGACUGUACCCGAAUAAGAAGGUCCGGCUAACUUCGUGCCAGCAGCCGCGGUAAUACGAAGGGACCUAGCGUAGUUCGGAAUUACUGGGCUUAAAGAGUUCGUAGGUGGUUGAAAAAGUUAGUGGUGAAAUCCCAGAGCUUAACUCUGGAACUGCCAUUAAAACUUUUCAGCUAGAGUAUGAUAGAGGAAAGCAGAAUUUCUAGUGUAGAGGUGAAAUUCGUAGAUAUUAGAAAGAAUACCAAUUGCGAAGGCAGCUUUCUGGAUCAUUACUGACACUGAGGAACGAAAGCAUGGGUAGCGAAGAGGAUUAGAUACCCUCGUAGUCCAUGCCGUAAACGAUGUGUGUUAGACGUUGGAAAUUUAUUUUCAGUGUCGCAGGGAAACCGAUAAACACACCGCCUGGGGAGUACGACCGCAAGGUUAAAACUCAAAUGAAUUGACGGGGACCCGCACAAGUAGUGGAGCAUGUGGUUUAAUUCGAAGAUACGCGCAGAACCUUACCAACACUUGACAUGUUCGUCGCGACUCUAAGAGAUUAGAGUUUUCGGUUCGGCCGGACGAAACACAGGUGCUGCAUGGCUGUCGUCAGCUCGUGUCGUGAGAUGUUGGGUUAAGUCCCGCAACGAGCGCAACCCUCACUUUUAGUUGCCAUCAUUAAGUUGGGCACUCUGAAAGAACUGCCAGUGAUAAGCUGGAGGAAGGUGGGGAUGACGUCAAGUCCUCAUGGCCCUUACGUGUUGGGCUACACACGUGCUACAAUGGUAUCUACAACAGGAAGCAAGACUGCGAAGUUAAGCAAAUCCCUAAAAGAUACCUCAGUUCGGAUUGCACUCUGCAACUCGAGUGCAUGAAGCUGGAAUUACUAGUAAUCGUGGAUCAGCGUGCCACGGUGAAAUGCGUUCCCGGGUCU